rnacentral:lncRNA from 1 species
CGGGGCGGCAAAACGUCCGCCCGGGCCCGAGGCGGGCGGAGGCAGCUGUGGUUACGUGCGGGGGGCCGGUGACGCAGUCGCGGGGCGCUGGGACGCGGCUUGCGGAGCCGGCCGGCGAGCGCAGGCCCCAGGCUCGGGCGCGGCGGCGGGACAGCACCUACCUUCCCGGCUUCGGGUCCGGGAGUGCGGGGCGCGGAGCCGCCGGAGCGCUGCCUCCCUCCUUCCUCCUCCCCUCGCCCCCGCCCCGCGGCGCGACACACAAUACUCGCCGGAAGCGGAAGCCGCGCCGAGGCUCGUGUCAGUGGAAGCUGGGGUGUCGGCGGGCGGCCGCGGCCGGGUCUAGUGGUGCCUGCGGAAGAAGGAGGAGGAGGGCUGGCGAUGAGAAGCAGCAGGGGGAAUCAAGGGCAAGAAGGGACCCAGAGGGGCAGGUGGCUGAGAUGCUGGCGUCCAGGUGACCCGAGGAAUCCUCUGGAGAUACAGGCCCGCGCAUGCGCGUGCUCGAGCGCUGAAGCCCAUUGCCCGCAGGGCGCUGGACUGGCGCCCCGGCCGGCGAGGCUGUCUAGUCCAGGCUCCAGGCCCCGGCUCUGGCCAGGCGCCGCCGCCUCCCGGUGCAGCUGAAAGUCGACGAAGAGGGCGGGGCGGGGGCGGCUUGUGGACUUCCACACUUUUCCUCUCUUCGGGCCAGUCUGGGGAGAGGGUGGCUAGCUGUGGCGGCGGCCAAUUACGUGGCGGACCUGCGGGGCUAAGCUGGCACGUCACUUCCGACUAGUGGAGUUUUUAGCCUUUUAACAUUCAAGGAUUAGGUAAGUUCUCCCCGCGGUAGACUUCAAAUACUCUUUGUCCUGCCCCUGCUUGGCGAAAUUUACCGAAAUUAUCUACCUAUCCCGCUGGAGUGGGAGCCGGGGGAGAGCUGGAACCGCGUCUCUGCUGCUCACCUUUGUGUCCUUAGCUCCUUCGCAUGGGGUCCGACCGCAACACGUGCGCUGGAUAAACGCUUGUUAACUGGAGCUCCCUCUUUGCCCACUAGCAGGGCAUUAGCUGGUGCUGAAGACAGUGGCUGCUUGGCGAGCCUGGAUCUCCAAGUGACCCCCUCAGCAACUCCUGAUGAACAGGGACUUGCACUUAGGAAUCUGUUACAGUGAGCACAGAAGCAGACCUGUGGGCUCAUAGUCUUCACCCCCCACCCAUAUAUACAAGAUGAACAGAGUGGAGGUUAAACAACUUGACUAAACAACACAGUUCAUGGUAAAGCCCAAGACUGUACCUGCCCAUCCACUGCCUUUUCCAUGUAUCCUGGAACUGAGCAUAGACCUCUUCCCAGGCAGAGCUGACAGCAAGUAAAGGAGAUCAUAAUCAGGGGACCAAACAACUUUGUCUAAAGUGUGAAUGUCACCUAAGGAGAAGCUGUGAGAUCAGAAGGGUGGGGCAGAGGAGCAGACACCAUGAGAGAGAGUCCUUGGGGGUACAUCUGCCAGACUGACACUGUCUGGCCUGGGCAGUGGAGGGGCUAGCAGGAACCACAGGUACUGGUGGUGUGGCUACUACCGUUACAACUGCCUGUGCUUGGACAUGGACCCUCUGCAAUAUGCGGCAGUUUCAUUCAUUGCCCCCUACAUUCUACACCAAGUAGAAAUGGAAGGCAAUUGGAUACUUCACAGACAAGAUCUAAGUGGAGAAGGAAUGCGUCCUGUGGCUGCAGAGAUCCUUGGAGCUUGGAGGGGAGAGCUUGAGCCCCACUGAUGAUGACCUCCCACAGCUCGCCAACUCAGCCCUCCCUAAGUCCCCAUCGGGGGCCAAUUCUCACUCUGGGGUUGGGGGGACUCCACCAUAGCUCAUCCAUCAUAGGGAUGUUGGUAUCUACUGUGGGUUGGGUAGGGCCGAUGUGCUGAGGAUGGCUCCCCCACAAGCAAGAGAUGUGGAUUUGGGGAGCUUCCCAUCUUGUGUUGAAGGAACAUAACUCAGAAUAAUAAGAGCCAACUAUAACAAACCCACAGCCAACAUCAUACUGAAUGGGCAAAAGCUGCAGGCAUUCCCCUUGAAAAGUGGCACAGGAUAAGGAAGCCCUUUCUCACCACUCCUAUUCAAUAUAGUGUUGAAAGUCCUGAUCACAGCAGUCAGGCAACAGAAAUAAUAAAGGGCAUCCAAAUAGGAAGAGAGGAAGUCAAACUAUCCUUGUUUGCAGACAGUAUGAUUCUAUAUCUAGAAAACCCCAUAGCCUCAGCCCAAAAGGUCCUUCAUCUGAUAAUUUCAGCAAAGUUUCAGGAGACAAAAUCAGUGUACAAAAAUCACUAACAUUCCUAUACACAGUCGCCAAGCCAAGAGCCAAAUCAGGAGCACAAUCCCAUUCAUAAUUGCCACAAAAAAGAAUAAAAUACCCAGGAAUGCAGCUAACCAAGGAAGUAAAGGAUCUCUACAAUGAGAAUCACAAACGCUGCUCAAAGAAAUCAGAGAUGACACAAACAAAUGGAAAAACUUUCCAUGCUCAUGGCUAGGAAGAAUCAAUAUCAUUAAAGUGGCCAUACUACCCAAAGCAAUUUAUAGAUUCAAUGCUAUUCCUAUCAAACUAUCAAUUACAUUUUUCACAGAACUAGAAAAAACUUAAAAUUCAUAUGGAACCAAAAAGCCUGAGUAGUCAAGGCAAUCCUAAACAAAAAGAACAAAGGUGGAGGCAUCACAUUACCUAACUUCAAACUACAGGGCUACCAUGACCAAAACAGCAUGGUACUGGUACAAAAGCAGACACACAGACCAGUGGGACAGAAUAGAGAGCCCAAAAAUAAGGCCACAAACCUACAGCCAUCUGAUCUUCAACAAAGUUGACAAAAACAAGCAAUGGGGAAAGGUCUCCCUAUUCAAUAAAUGGUGCUGGGAUAACUGGCUGGCCAUAUGCAGAAGAUCGUAACUGGACCCCUUUUACUAUGUACAAAAAUUAAGAUGGUUUAAAGAGUUAAAACCCAAAAUUAUAAAAAUCCUGAAGAUAACUUAGGCAAUACCAUUCUGGACAUAGGAACUGGCAAAUAUUUCAUGAUGAAGACACCAAAAGCAAUUGUAACAAAAGCAAAAAUGGACAAAUUGGAUUUAAGAGCUUUUUCAUAGCAAAAUAAACAACAGGGCAGACAAUCUACCAAAUGACAGAAAAUUUUUGCAAACUAUGCAUCUGACAAGGGGCUAAUAUCUAGCAUCUAUAAGGAAUUUAAACACAGUUACAGG